rnacentral:ncRNA from 2 species
CCAUUCGCGGCCCAUGGUGGACUUCCCGAGCCAAACGGCGGCAGGAGAGGAAGCCGGUGAGAAUCCGGCGCGGUCCCGCCACUGUCACCGGGGAGCACUCUCCCAUCGCCUGUAUGGGGUCACGGCUCGACCGUACGGUUGCUUUCGUACGCGGGGCUGGAAGACCGGGAGGGGCGCGGAUCCGGGAGCCAGGAGACUUUCACCGCCGGUCACGUCGA